UACGUAGGGUGCGAGCGUUGUCCGGAAUUAUUGGGCGUAAAGAGCUCGUAGGCGGUUUGUCACGUCGGAUGUGAAACCCCGGGGCUUAACUCCGGGCCUGCAUUCGAUACGGGCUGACUAGAGUUCGGCAGGGGAGACUGGAAUUCCUGGUGUAGCGGUGGAAUGCGCAGAUAUCAGGAGGAACACCGGUGGCGAAGGCGGGUCUCUGGGCCGACAUUGACGCUGAGGAGCGAAAGCGUGGGGAGCGAACAGG
rnacentral:rRNA from 1 species